GGUUGUAUCUGCCCAGAAUGGACCCAUGCCACAGACAAAGGAACAUAUUCUGCUGGCUCGUCAGGUUUGCAUGCCAUCAUUGGUGUGCUUUCUAAAUAAGGUUGAUGCUGUUGAUGAUGAAGAGUUGUUGGAACUUGUGGAAUUGGAGCUCCGUGAGCUUCGAAACUUUUACAAGUUUGCUGGAGAUGAAAUUCCAAUUAUUCAGGAUUCCGCUGUCUGCUUUACAGGGCACAAAUGAAGA